rnacentral:rRNA from 1 species
AUUGAACGCUGGCGGCAGGCCUAACACAUGCAAGUCGAGCGGAUGAAGGGAGCUUGCUCCUGGAUUCAGCGGCGGACGGGUGAGUAAUGCCUAGGAAUCUGCCUGGUAGUGGGGGAUAACGUCCGGAAACGGGCGCUAAUACCGCAUACGUCCUGAGGGAGAAAGUGGGGGAUCUUCGGACCUCACGCUAUCAGAUGAGCCUAGGUCGGAUUAGCUAGUUGGUGGGGUAAAGGCCUGCCAAGGCGACGAUCCGUAACUGGUCUGAGAGGACGAUCAGUCACACUGGAACUGAGACACGGUCCAGACUCCUACGGGAGGCAGCAGUGGGGAAUAUUGGACAAUGGGCGAAAGCCUGAUCCAGCCAUGCCGCGUGUGUGAAGAAGGUCUUCGGAUUGUAAAGCACUUUAAGUUGGGAGGAAGGGCAGUAAGUUAAUACCUUGCUGUUUUGACGUUACCAACAGAAUAAGCACCGGCUAACUUCGUG